AAGUCGUAACAAGGUCUCCGUAGGUGAACCUGCGGAGGGAUCAUUACCGAGUGGAGGGCGCUCCGGCGCCCGACCUCCCAACCCUUUGAUUUGAUCAAGACCUCUUCUGCCUCGGGGGCGACCCGGCCUCCGCCCUCGCGGGGGGCGACCCGGUCCUCCCGGUGGUCCAACACACCAACUCUGCAUCAAUUGUCGUCGGAUGUUUGAAGCGAAUUCAAUCAAAACUUUCAACAACGGAUCUCUUGGUUCUG
rnacentral:misc_RNA from 1 species